rnacentral:tRNA from 1 species
GGGGACAUGGUUCAGUGGGCAAGAACAAUUGUUUUGCAAGCAUGAAGAUCUGAGUUCAAAUCCCAGGCACUCA